rnacentral:lncRNA from 1 species
UUAACAUUGACAUGUUCAUAUUACACUAACAAGCUUAAACCUAACAUGCUUAACAUUGCCACUUCAUUUCUUAACAUCUUCACUCCUCCUUCUUCUUCUUCAUCAACCUGAUGCGCUCAGAGUGGCGAAUCCCAAUGCGGAUGUACUCCUCUACCACAAUUGGCAUGGUCAUGUCGCCAAGUUGUGGGAUUGCAGGCGCCACCACCAUCACGAGGUCAUUGUCAGGCACCACCAUUGCGAGGUCAUCAUUGGGCACCACAAUCGCGAGGUCGUCGUCAGCCACCAUAGCAAGGUCGAUGUCCGCCACCACCAUAGCAGGGUCGUCGUCAGCCACCACCAUAGCAAGGUCGUCAUCCGCCACCACCAUAGCAGGGUCGUUGUCAGCC